rnacentral:rRNA from 1 species
UACAGAGACUGCAAGCGUUGUUCGGAUUCAUUGGGCGUAAAGGGUGCGUAGGUGGCGGGGUUAGUCAGGUGUGAAAUCUCGGGGCUCAACCCCGAAACUGCACUUGAUACUGCCUUGCUAGAGUACUGGAGAGGAGAUUGGAAUUUACGGUGUAGCAGUGAAAUGCGUAGAUAUCGUAAGGAAGACCAGUGGCGAAGGCGAAUCUCUGGACAGUUACUGACACUGAGGCACGAAGGCCAGGGGAGCAAACGGG